rnacentral:rRNA from 1 species
UACAGAGGUGCCAAGCGUUAGGCGGAAUCACUGGGCUUAAAGCGCGUGUAGGUGGGUCGUUAAGUGUCCGCGUGAAAUCCCACGGCUCAACCGUGGAACUGCCGGGCAUACUGGCGAUCUUGAGGCAUUCAGGGGCGAGCGGAACAAGUGGUGGAGCGGUGAAAUGCGUAGAUAUCGCUUGGAACGCCAACGGUGAAAACAGGUUGCUGGGGGUGUGCUGACGCUGAGACACGAAAGCCAGGGGAGCGAACGGGG